rnacentral:rRNA from 1 species
UACGGAGGAUCCAAGCGUUAUCCGGAAUCAUUGGGUUUAAAGAGUCCGUAGGCGGCGCAGAAAGUAGGGUGUGAAAGCCCUCGGCUUAACCGAGGAAUUGCGCUCUAAACUACUGUGCUUGAGGAACCUAGAGGUGAGCGGAACUGAUGGUGGAGCGGUGAAAUGCGUUGAUAUCAUCAGGAACACCGGAGGCGAAGGCGGCUCACUGGGGGUUAUCUGACGCUGAGGGACGAAAGCCAGGGGAGCGAACGGG